rnacentral:rRNA from 1 species
UACGGAGGUCGCAAGCGUUACUGGGAAUCACUGGGCGUAAAGCGCGUGUAGGCGGCUUGGCAAGUCGGGUGUGAAAUCCCGAGGCUCAACCUCGGAACUGCACUCGAAACUGGUUGGCUCGAGUCCCGGAGAGGGUAGCGGAAUUCCCGGUGUAGGGGUGAAAUCCGUAGAGAUCGGGUGGAACGCCAGUGGCGAAGGCGGCCACCUGGACGGUGACUGACGAUGAGGCACGAAAGCGUGGGGAUCGAACAGG